UCCUACGGGAGGCAGCAGUAGGGAAUCUUCGGCAAUGGGGGCAACCCUGACCGAGCAACGCCGCGUGAGUGAAGAAGGCUUUCGGAUCGUAAAGCUCUGUUGUAAGAGAAGAACGUGUGUGAGAGUGGAAAGUUCACACAGUGACGGUAACUUACCAGAAAGGGACGGCUAACUACGUGCCAGCAGCCGCGGUAAUACGUAGGUCCCGAGCGUUGUCCGGAUUUAUUGGGCGUAAAGCGAGCGCAGGCGGUUUAAUAAGUCUGAAGUUAAAGGCAGUGGCUUAACCAUUGUUCGCUUUGGAAACUGUUAGACUUGAGUGCAGGAGGGGAGAGUGGAAUUCCAUGUGUAGCGGUGAAAUGCGUAGAUAUAUGGAGGAACACCGGUGGCGAAAGCGGCUCUCUGGUCUGUAACUGACGCUGAGGCUCGAAAGCGUGGGGAGCAAACAGGAUUAGAUACCCUGGUAGUCC
rnacentral:rRNA from 1 species